rnacentral:rRNA from 2 species
UGCGAAUGGCUCAUUAAAUCAGUUAUCGUUUAUUUGAUAGUACCUUACUACUUGGAUAACCGUGGUAAUUCUAGAGCUAAUACAUGCUAAAAACCCCGACUUCGGAAGGGGUGUAUUUAUUAGAUAAAAAACCAAUGCCCUUCGGGGCUCCUUGGUGAUUCAUAAUAACUUAACGAAUCGCAUAGCCUUGUGCUGGCGAUGGUUCAUUCAAAUUUCUGCCCUAUCAACUUUCGAUUGUAUGGUAUUGGCUUACAAUGGUCAGGCGCGCAAAUUACCCAAUCCCGACACGGGGAGGUAGUGACAAUAAAUACUGAUACAGGGCUCUUUUGGGUCUUGUAAUUGGAAUGAGUACAAUUUAAAUCCCUUAACGAGGAACAAUUGGAGGGCAAGUCUGGUGCCAGCAGCCGCGGUAAUUCCAGCUCCAAUAGCGUAUAUUAAAGUUGUUGCAGUUAAAAAGCUCGUAGUUGAACCUUGGGUUUGGUUGGUCGGUCCGCCUCACCGCGUGCACUGAUCCGACCGAAUCUUUCCUUCUGGGGAACCGUAUGCCCUUCACUGGGUGUGCUGGGGAACCAGGACUUUUACUUUGAAAAAAUUAGAGUGUUCAAAGCAGGCCUAUGCUCGAAUACAUUAGCAUGGAAUAAUAGAAUAGGACGUGUGGUUCUAUUUUGUUGGUUUCUAGGACCGCCGUAAUGAUUAAUAGGGAUAGUCGGGGGCAUCAGUAUUCAAUUGUCAGAGGUGAAAUUCUUGGAUUUAUUGAAGACUAACUACUGCGAAAGCAUUUGCCAAGGAUGUUUUCAUUAAUCAGUGAACGAAAGUUAGGGGAUCGAAGACGAUCAGAUACCGUCGUAGUCUUAACCAUAAACUAUGCCGACUAGGGAUCGGGCGGUGUUAUCUUUUUGACCCGCUCGGCACCUUACGAGAAAUCAAAGUC